rnacentral:rRNA from 1 species
UCGCUGUAGCAAUACAGUGGAAAAUUCAGUGGCGAACGGGUGCGUAACACGUGGGCAAUCUGCCUUAAAGUGUGGGAUAGCUCGGCGAAAGCCGAAUUAAUACCGCAUGUGGCUACUGGAGACAUCUUCGGGACGCUAAAGGUGGCGCAAGCUACCGCUUUUUGAGGAGCCCGCGGCCUAUCAGCUUGUUGGUGAGGUAACGGCUUACCAAGGCGUUGACGGGUAGCUGGUCUGAGAGGACGACCAGCCACACUGGGACUGAGACACGGCCCAGACACCUACGGGUGGCAGCAGUCGAGAAUUUUGACAAUGGGGGAAACCCUGAUCGAGCGACGCCGCGUGGAGGAUGAAGGUCUUCGGGUUGUAAACUCCUGUCAUUUGGGAACAAGGCGUAGGUAUUAACUGUACGUGCGUUGAUAGUACCAGAAGAGGAAGAGACGGCUAACUCUGUGCCAGCAGCCGCGGUAAUACAGAGGUCUCAAGCGUUGUUCGGAUUCAUUGGGCGUAAAGGGUGUGUAGGUGGCGCGCUAAGUCGGGUGUGAAGUUUCGGAGCUUAACUCCGAAACUGCAUUCGAUACUGGCGUGCUUGAGGACUGGAGAGGAGACUGGAAUUCUCGGUGUAGCA